GUCGAGAAUCUUUCACAAUGGGGGCAACCCUGAUGGAGCGACGCCGCGUGGAGGAUAAGGUCUUCGGAUUGUAAACUCCUGUCAUGCGUGAACAAGGUUGCUUGGUUAAUACCUGGGCAAAUUGAUGGUAACGCAAGAGGAAGAGACGGCUAACUCUGUGCCAGCAGCCGCGGUAAUACAGAGGUCUCAAGCGUUGUUCGGAAUCACUGGGCGUAAAGGGUGCGUAGGUGGCGUGGUAAGUCAGAUGUGAAAGCCCGGGGCUCAACCUCGGAACUGAAUCCGAUACUGCCAUGCUAGAGUACUGGAGAGGUGACUAGAAUUCUCGGUGUAGCAGUGAAAUGCGUAGAUAUCGAGAGGAAUACCAAAGGCGUAGGCAGGUCACUGGACAGUUACUGACACUGAGGCACGAAGGCCAGGGGAGCGAACGGGAUUAGAAACCCCUGUAGUCC
rnacentral:rRNA from 1 species